rnacentral:rRNA from 1 species
AGUCGAGCGAAUCUGAGGGAGCUUGCUCCCAAAGAUUAGCGGCGGACGGGUGAGUAACACGUGGGCAACCUGCCUGUAAGACUGGGAUAACUUCGGGAAACCGGAGCUAAUACCGGAUAAUCCCUUUCCUCACAUGAGGAAAGGCUGAAAGAUGGUUUCGGCUAUCACUUACAGAUGGGCCCGCGGCGCAUUAGCUAGUUGGUGAGGUAACGGCUCACCAAGGCCACGAUGCGUAGCCGACCUGAGAGGGUGAUCGGCCACACUGGGACUGAGACACGGCCCAGACUCCUACGGGAGGCAGCAGUAGGGAAUCUUCCGCAAUGGACGAAAGUCUGACGGAGCAACGCCGCGUGAGUGAUGAAGGUUUUCGGAUCGUAAAACUCUGUUGUUAGGGAAGAACAAGUAUCGGAGUAACUGCCGGUACCUUGACGGUACCUAACCAGAAAGCCACGGCUAACUACGUGCCAGCAGCCGCGGUAAUACGUAGGUGGCAAGCGUUGUCCGGAAUUAUUGGGCGUAAAGCGCGCGCAGGUGGUUCCUUAAGUCUGAUGUGAAAGCCCACGGCUCAACCGUGGAGGGUCAUUGGAAACUGGGGAACUUGAGUGCAGAAGAGGAAAGUGGAAUUCCAAGUGUAGCGGUGAAAUGCGUAGAGAUUUGGAGGAACACCAGUGGCGAAGGCGACUUUCUGGUCUGUAACUGACACUGAGGCGCGAAAGCGUGGGGAGCGAACAGGAUUAGAUACCCUGGUAGUCCACGCCGUAAACGAUGAGUGCUAAGUGUUAGAGGGUUUCCGCCCUUUAGUGCUGCAGCAAACGCAUUAAGCACUC